GCAUUUAAACCAGUCAUAUCAGGCCUAAAUAUUCUACCUGUUUUAUGUUCAAACUGGGAAGAUCUGGCUUCUCACACCUAACUUACAAUGUCAUUCUAAAAAUAUACAAUCACAUCAUUAAAAACACAAAGCUACAAGGUAAUGCAUGGUUAAUUCAAAACAAU